CAGUAGCCGCGGGAACACGGAGGGCGCGAGCGUUACCCGGAUUUACUGGGCGUAAAGGGCGUGUAGGCGGCCUGGGGCGUCCAAUGUGAAAGGCCACGGCUCCACCGUGGAGGAGCGUGGGAUACGCUCAGGUUAGAGGGUGGGAGAGGGUGGUGGAAUUCCCGGAGUAGCGGUGAAAUGCGCAGAUACCGGGAGGAACGCCGAUGGCGAAGGCAGCCACCUGGUCCACUUCUGACGCUGAGGCGCGAAAGCGUGGGGAGCAAACCGGAUUAGAUACCCGCGUAGUCCCUGUCUCUUAUAC
rnacentral:rRNA from 1 species